GGUUUGAUAAUAGAUGGAUGGUGCUAUGCUGGUUAGAUUAGUAGGUUCUGGGUUUGAUAAGAGAUGGAUGGUGCUGUGCUGGUUAGAUUAGUAGGUUCUGGGGUUUGAUAAGAGAUGGAUGGCGCUGUGCUGGUUAGAUUAGUAGGUUCUGGGGUUUGACGAUGGCACUGUGCUGGUUAGAUUAGUAGGUUCUAGGGUUUGAUAACAUAUGGAUGGUGCUGUGCUGGUUAGAUUAGUAGGAUCUGGGCUUUGAUAACAAAUGGAUGAUGAUGUGCUGGUUAGAUUAGUAGGUUCUUGGGUUUGAUAACAGAUGGAUGAUGAUGUGCUGGUUAGAUUAGCAGUUUCUGGGGUUUGAUAACAUAUAGACGGCACUGUGCUGGUUAGAUUAGUAAGUUCUGGGGUUUGAUAACACAUGGAUGGUGCUGUGCUGGUUAGAUUAGUAGGUUCUGGGGUUUGAUAACAGAUGGAUGGUGCUGUGUUGGUAAGGUUAGUAGGUCCUGGGGUUUGAUAACAGAUGGAUGGUGCUGUGCUGGUUAGAUUAGCCGUUUCUGGGGUUUGAUAACAGAUGGAUGGUGCUGUGUUGGUAAGGUUAGUAGGUCCUGGGGUUUGAUAACAGAUGGAUGGAGCUGUGCUGGUUAGAUUAGCCGAUUCUGGGGUUUGAUAACAGAUGGAUGGUGCUGUGUUGGUUAGAUUAGUAGGUUCUGGGGUUUGAUAACAGAUGGAUGGCGCUGUGUUGGUAAGGUUAGUAGGUCCUGGGGUUUGAUAACAGAUGGAUGGUGGUGUGCUGGUUAGAUUAGCCGUUUCUGGGGUUUGAUAACAGAUGGAUGGCGCUGUGCUGGUUAGAUUAGCAGUUUCUGGGAUUUGAUAACAGAUGGAUGGUGCUGUGUUGGUUAUAUUAGUAGGUUCUGGGGUUUGAUAACAGAUGGAUGGCGCUGUGUUGGUAAGGUUAGUAGGUUCUGGGGUUUGAUAAGAGAUGGAUUGCACUGUGCUGAUUAGAUUAGUAGGUUCUGGGGUUUGAUAACAGAUGGAUGGUGCUAUGCUGGUUAGAUUAGUAGGUUCUGGAUUUGAUAACAGAUGGAUGGUGCUGUGCUGGUUAGAUUAGUAUGUUCUGGGUUUGAUAAGAGAUGGAUGGUGCUGUGCUGGUUAGAUUAGUAGGUUCUGGGGUUUGAUAAGAGAUGGAUGGCGCUGUGCUGGUUAGAUUAGUAGGUUCUGGGGUUUGAUGAUGGCACUGUGCUGGUUAGAUUAGUAGGUUCUGGGGUUUGAUAACAUAUAGACGGCGCUCUGCUGGUUAGAUUAGUAGGUUCUAGGGUUUGAUAACAUAUGGAUGGUGCUGUGCUGGUUAGAUUAGUAGGAUCUGGGCUUUGAUAACAGAUGGAUGAUGAUGUGCUGGUUAGAUUAGUAGGUUCUUGGGUUUGAUAACAGAUGGAUGAUGAUGUGCUGGUUAGAUUAGCAGUUUCUGGGGUUUGAUAACAUAUAGACGGCACUGUGCUGGUUAGAUUAGUAAGUUCUGGGGUUUGAUAACACAUGGAUGGUGCUGUGCUGGUUAGAUUAGUAGGUUCUGGGGUUUGAUAACAGAUGGAUGGUGCUGUGUUGGUAAGGUUAGUAGGUCCUGGGGUUUGAUAACAGAUGGAUGGUGCUGUGCUGGUUAGAUUAGCCGUUUCUGGGGUUUGAUAACAGAUGGAUGGUGCUGUGUUGGUAAGGUUAGUAGGUCCUGGGGUUUGAUAACAGAUGGAUGGAGCUGUGCUGGUUAGAUUAGCCGAUUCUGGGGUUUGAUAACAGAUGGAUGGUGCUGUGUUGGUUAGAUUAGUAGGUUCUGGGGUUUGAUAACAGAUGGAUGGCGCUGUGUUGGUAAGGUUAGUAGGUCCUGGGGUUUGAUAACAGAUGGAUGGUGGUGUGCUGGUUAGAUUAGCCGUUUCUGGGGUUUGAUAACAGAUGGAUGGCGCUGUGCUGGUUAGAUUAGCAGUUUCUGGGGUUUGAUAACAGAUGGAUGGUGCUGUGUUGGUUAUAUUAGUAGGUUCUGGGGUUUGAUAACAGAUGGAUGGCGCUGUGUUGGUAAGGUUAGUAGGUUCUGGGGUUUGAUAAGAGAUGGAUUGCACUGUGCUGAUUAGAUUAGUAGGUUCUGGGGUUUGAUAACAGAUGGAUGGUGCUAUGCUGGUUAGAUUAGUAGGUUCUGGAUUUGAUAACAGAUGGAUGGUGCUGUGCUGGUUAGAUUAGUAUGUUCUGGCUUUGAUAAGAGAUGGAAGGUGCUGUGCUGGUUAGAUUAGUAGGUUCUGGGGUUUGAUAAGAGAUGGAUGGCGCUGUGCUGGUUAUAUUAGUAGGUCCUGGGGUUUGAUAACAGAUGGAUGGUGCUGUGCUGGUUAGAUUAGCCGUUUCUGGGGUUUGAUAACAGAUGGAUGGUGCUGUGUUGGUAAGGUUAGUAGGUCCUGGGGUUUGAUAACAGAUGGAUGGAGCUGUGCUGGUUAGAUUAGCCGAUUCUGGGGUUUGAUAACAGAUGGAUGGUGCUGUGUUGGUUAGAUUAGUAGGUUCUGGGGUUUGAUAACAGAUGGAUGGCGCUGUGUUGGUAAGGUUAGUAGGUCCUGGGGUUUGAUAACAGAUGGAUGGUGGUGUGCUGGUUAGAUUAGCCGUUUCUGGGGUUUGAUAACAGAUGGAUGGCGCUGUGCUGGUUAGAUUAGCAGUUUCUGGGGUUUGAUAACAGAUGGAUGGUGCUGUGUUGGUUAUAUUAGUAGGUUCUGGGGUUUGAUAACAGAUGGAUGGCGCUGUGUUGGUAAGGUUAGUAGGUUCUGGGGUUUGAUAAGAGAUGGAUUGCACUGUGCUGAUUAGAUUAGUAGGUUCUGGGGUUUGAUAACAGAUGGAUGGUGCUAUGCUGGUUAGAUUAGUAGGUUCUGGAUUUGAUAACAGAUGGAUGGUGCUGUGCUGGUUAGAUUAGUAUGUUCUGGCUUUGAUAAGAGAUGGAAGGUGCUGUGCUGGUUAGAUUAGUAGGUUCUGGGGUUUGAUAAGAGAUGGAUGGCGCUGUGCUGGUUAUAUUAGUAGGUUCUGGGGUUUGACGAUGGCACUGUGCUGGUUAGAUUAGUAGGUUCUGGGGUUUGAUAACAGAUGGAUGGCACAGUGUUGGUUAGAUUAGUGGGUUUUGGGGUUUGAUAACAGAUGGAUGGUGCUGUGCUGGUUAGAUUAGUAGGUUCUGGGGUUUGAUAACAUAGACGGCACUGUGCUGGUUAGAUUAGUAGGUUCUUGGGUUUGAUAACAGAUGGAUGAUGAUGUGCUGGUUAGAUUAGCAGUUUCUAGGGUUUGAUAACAUAUAGACGGCACUGUGCUGGUUAGAUUAGUAGGUUCUGGGGUUUGAUAACAUAUAGACAGCACUGUGCUGGUUAGAUUAGUAGGUUCUGGGGUUUGAUAACAGAUGGAUGGUGCUGUGCUGGUUAGAUUAGGAGGUUCUGGGUUUGAUAACAGAUGGAUGGUGCUGUGCUGGUUAGAUUAGUAGGUUCUGGGUUUGAUAAGAGAUGGAUGGUGCUGUGCUGGUUAGAUUAGUAGGUUCUGGGGUUUGAUAAGAGAUGGAUGGCGCUGUGCUGGUUAGAUUAGUAGGUUCUGGGGUUUGAUGAUGGCACUGUGCUGGUUAGAUUAGUAGGUUCUGGGGUUUGAUAACAUAUAGACGGCGCUCUGCUGGUUAGAUUAGUAGGUUCUAGGGUUUGAUAACAUAUGGAUGGUGCUGUGCUGGUUAGAUUAGUAGGAUCUGGGCUUUGAUAACAGAUGGAUGAUGAUGUGCUGGUUAGAUUAGUAGGUUCUUGGGUUUGAUAACAGAUGGAUGAUGAUGUGCUGGUUAGAUUAGUAGGAUCUGGGCUUUGAUAACAAAUGGAUGAUGAUGUGCUGGUUAGAUUAGUAGGUUCUUGGGUUUGAUAACAGAUGGAUGAUGAUGUGCUGGUUAGAUUAGCAGUUUCUGGGGUUUGAUAACAUAUAGACGGCACUGUGCUGGUUAGAUUAGUAAGUUCUGGGGUUUGAUAACACAUGGAUGGUGCUGUGCUGGUUAGAUUAGUAGGUUCUGGGGUUUGAUAACAGAUGGAUGGUGCUGUGUUGGUAAGGUUAGUAGGUCCUGGGGUUUGAUAACAGAUGGAUGGUGCUGUGCUGGUUAGAUUAGCCGUUUCUGGGGUUUGAUAACAGAUGGAUGGUGCUGUGUUGGUAAGGUUAGUAGGUCCUGGGGUUUGAUAACAGAUGGAUGGAGCUGUGCUGGUUAGAUUAGCCGAUUCUGGGGUUUGAUAACAGAUGGAUGGUGCUGUGUUGGUUAGAUUAGUAGGUUCUGGGGUUUGAUAACAGAUGGAUGGCGCUGUGUUGGUAAGGUUAGUAGGUUCUGGGGUUUGAUAAGAGAUGGAUUGCACUGUGCUGAUUAGAUUAGUAGGUUCUGGGGUUUGAUAACAGAUGGAUGGUGCUAUGCUGGUUAGAUUAGUAGGUUCUGGAUUUGAUAACAGAUGGAUGGUGCUGUGCUGGUUAGAUUAGUAUGUUCUGGCUUUGAUAAGAGAUGGAAGGUGCUGUGCUGGUUAGAUUAGUAGGUUCUGGGGUUUGAUAAGAGAUGGAUGGCGCUGUGCUGGUUAUAUUAGUAGGUUCUGGGGUUUGACGAUGGCACUGUGCUGGUUAGAUUAGUAGGUUCUGGGGUUUGAUAACAGAUGGAUGGCACAAUGUUGGUUAGAUUAGUAGGUUUUGGGGUUUGAUAACAGAUGGAUGGUGCUGUGCUGGUUAGAUUAGUAGGUUCUGGGGUUUGAUAACAUAGACGGCACUGUGCUGGUUAGAUUAGUAGGUUCUUGGGUUUGAUAACAGAUGGAUGAUGAUGUGCUGGUUAGAUUAGCAGUUUCUAGGGUUUGAUAACAUAUAGACGGCACUGUGCUGGUUAGAUUAGUAGGUUCUGGGGUUUGAUAACAUAUAGACAGCACUGUGUUGGUUAGAUUAGUAGGUUCUGGGGUUUGAUAACAGAUGGAUGGUGCUGUCCUGGUUAAAUUAGGAGGUUCUGGGGUUUGAUAACAGAUGGAUGGUGCUGUGCUGGUUAGAUUAGUAGGUUCUGGGGUUUGAUAACAGAUGGAUGGUGCUGUGCUGGUUAAAUUAGGAGGUUCUGGGGUUUGAUAACAGAUGGAUGGUGCUGUGCUGGUUAGAUUAGUAGGUUCUGGGGUUUGAUAACAGAUGGAUGGUGCUGUGCUGGUUACAUUAGGAGGUUCUGGGGUUGAUAACAGAUGGACGGCAGUGUGCUGGUUAGAUUAGUAGGUUCUGGGGUUUGAUAACAGAUGGAUGAUGAUGUGCUGGUUAGAUUAGCAGUUUCUGGGGUUUGAUAACAUAUAGACGGCACUGUGCUGGUUAGAUUAGUAGGUUCUAGGGUUUGAUAACAUAUAGACAGCACUGUGUUGGUUAGAUUAGUAGGUUCUGGGGUUUGAUAACAGAUGGAUGGUGCUGUCCUGGUUAAAUUAGGAGGUUCUGGGGUUUGAUAACAGAUGGAUGGUGCUGUGCUGGUUAGAUUAGGAGGUUCUGGGGUUGAUAACAGAUGGACGGCAGUGUGCUGGUUAGAUUAGUAGGUUCUGGUGUUUGAGAACAGAUGGAUGGUGCUGUCCUGAUUAAAUUAGGAGGUUCUGGGGUUGGAUAACAGAUGGAUGGGGCUGUGCUGGUUAGAUUAGUAGGUUCUGGGUUUGAUAACACAUAGAUGGGGCUGUGCUGGUUAGAUUAGUAGGUUCUGGGGUUUGAUAACAGAUGGAUGGUGCUGUCCUGGUUAAAUUAGGAGGUUCUGGGGUUUGAUAACAGAUGGAUGGUGCUGUGCUGGUUAGAUUAGUAGGUUCUGGGGUUUGAUAACAGAUGGAUGGUGCUGUGCUGGUUACAUUAGGAGGUUCUGGGGUUGAUAACAGAUGGACGGCAGUGUGCUGGUUAGAUUAGUAGGUUCUGGGGUUUGAUAACAGAUGGAUGAUGAUGUGCUGGUUAGAUUAGCAGUUUCUGGGGUUUGAUAACAUAUAGACGGCACUGUGCUGGUUAGAUUAGUAGGUUCUAGGGUUUGAUAACAUAUAGACAGCACUGUGUUGGUUAGAUUAGUAGGUUCUGGGGUUUGAUAACAGAUGGAUGGUGCUGUCCUGGUUAAAUUAGGAGGUUCUGGGGUUUGAUAACAGAUGGAUGGUGCUGUGCUGGUUAGAUUAGUAGGUUCUGGGGUUUGAUAACAGAUGGAUGGUGCUGUGCUGGUUACAUUAGGAGGUUCUGGGGUUGAUAGCAGAUGGACGGCAGUGUGCUGGUUAGAUUAGUAGGUUCUGGGGUUUGAUAACAGAUGGAUGGGGCUGUGCUGGUUAAAUUUGUAGGUUCUGGGUUUGAUAACACAUGGAUGGGGCUGUGCUGGUUAGAUUAGUAGGUUCUGGGUUUGAUAACAGAUGGAUGGGGCUGUGUUGGUUAGAUUAGUAGGUUCUGGCGUUUGAUAACAGAUGGAUGGUGCUGUCCUGGUUAAAUUAGGAGGUUCUGGGGUUUCAUAACAGAUGUAUGGUGCUGUACUGUUAGAUUAGUAGGUUCUGGGGUUUGAUAACACAUGGAUGGUGCUGUGCUGGUUAGAUUAGUAGGUUCUGGGGUUUGAUAACAGAUGGAUGGCGCUGUGUUGGUAAGGUUAGUAGGUUCUGGGGUUAGAUAACAGAUGGAUGGUGCUGUGCUGGUUAGAUUAGCCGUUUCUGGGGUUAGAUAACAGAUGGAUGGUGCUGUGUUGGUAAGGUUAGUAGGUCCUGGGGUUUGAUAACAGAUGGAUGGUGCUGUGCUGGUUAGAUUAGCUGUUUCUGGGGUUUGAUAACAGAUGGAUGGUGCUGUGUUGGUUAGAUUAGUAGGUUCUGGGGUUUGAUAACAGAUGGAUGGCGCUGUGUUGGUAAGGUUAGUAGGUCCUGGGGUUUGAUAACAGAUGGAUGGUGCUGUGCUGGUUAGAUUAGCCGUUUCUGGGGUUUGAUAACAGAUGGAUGGCGCUGUGCUGGUUAGAUUAGCAGUUUCUGGGGUUUGAUAACAGAUGGAUGGUGCUGUGUUGGUUAUAUUAGUAGGUUCUGGGGUUUGAUAACAGAUGGAUGGCGCUGUGUUGGUAAGGUUAGUAGGUUCUGGGGUUUGAUAACAGAUGGAUGGUGCUAUGCUGGUUAGAUUAGUAGGUUCUGGGUUUGAUAACAGAUGGAUGGUGCUGUGCUGGUUAGAUUAGUAGGUUCUGGGUUUGAUAAGAGAUGGAUGGUGCUGUGCUGGUUAGAUUAGUAGGUUCUGGGGUUUGAUAAAAGAUGGAUGGCGCUGUGCUGGUUAGAUUAGUAGGUCCUGGGGUUUGAUGAUGGCACUUUGCUGGUUAGAUUAGUAGGUUCUGGGGUUUGAUAACAUAUAGACGGCACUGUGCUGGUUAGAUUAGUAGGUUCUGGGGUUUGAUAACAGAUGGAUGAUGAUGUGCUGGUUAGAUUAGUAGGUCCUUGGGUUUGAUAACAGAUGGAUGAUGAUGUGCUGGUUAGAUUAGUAGGUCCUUGGGUUUGAUAACAGAUGGAUGAUGAUGUGCUGGUUAGAUUAGCAGUUUCUGGGGUUUGAUAACAUAUAGACAGCACUGUGCUGGUUAGAUUAGUAGGUUCUGGGGUUUGAUAACAGAUUUAUGGCACUGUGCUGGAUAGAUUAGUUGGUUCUGGGGUUUGAUAACAGAUGGAUGAUGAUGUGCUGGUUAGAUUAGCAGUUUCUGGGGUUUGAUAACAUAUAGACGGCACUGUGCUGGUUAGAUUAGUAGGUUCUAGGGUUUGAUAACAUAUAGACAGCACUGUGCUGGUUAGAUUAGUAGGUUCUGGGGUUUGAUAACAGAUGGAUGGUGCUGUGCUGGUUAGAUUAGUAGGUUCUGGUGUUUGAGAACAGAUGGAUGGUGCUGUCCUGAUUAAAUUAGGAGGUUUGGGGGUUGGAUAACAGAUGGAUGGGGCUGUGCUGGUUAGAUUAGUAGGUUCUGGGUUUGAUAACACAUGGAUGGGGCUGUGCUGGUUAGAUUAGUAGGUUCUGGGUUUGAUAACAGAUGGAUGGGGCUGUGUUGGUUAGAUUAGUAGGUUCUGGGGUUUGAUAACAGAUGGAUGGUGCUGUCCUGGUUAAAUUAGGAGGUUCUGGGGUUGGAUAACAGAUGAAUGGGGCUGUGCUGGUUAGAUUAGUAGGUUCUGGGUUUGAUAACAGAUGGAUGGGGCUGUGCUGGUUAGAUUAGUAGGUUCUGGGUUUGAUAACAGAUGGAUGGUGCUGUGCUGGUUAGAUUAGUAGGUUCUGGGUUUGAUAACAGAUGGAUGGUGCUGUGCUGGUUAGAUUAGUAGGUUCUGGGUUUGAUAACAGAUGGAUGGUGUUGUGCUGGUUAGAUUAGGAGGUUCUGGGGUUUGAUAACAGAUGGAUGGCGUUGUGCUGGUUAGAUUAGUAGGUUCUGGGGUUUGAUAAGAGAUGGAUGGCACUGUGUUAAUUGAUGUGAUUAAUCACAUCAAAUCAAAUUUAUUUGUAUAGCGCUUUUUACAACUGGCAUUGGCACAAAGCAGCUUUACAGAAACAUGAUUACAGGACAAAGAAUCAGGCAAAAGAUUAAACAUAGAAAAUACAGAAUACAGAGCCCCCAGUGAGCGCGGAGGCAAGGAAAAACUCCCUCAGAGCUGCAGGAGGAGAAAUAAACCUUGGGAGAACCAAGACUCACAUUUAAGGGGGACCAUCCUACCACUGGUCAAACAGCUUUUAAACUAAAAUUUAAAAAGUCUUUCAUACAUCCACAUAGGUUUUAUAUAUUCAGGUGUAUAGCAGCUCCACUAAUGGCUUAAAGAGUAAGAUGGAUGAUGAGCAGCUGAUCUGUGGUGGGUGAUGGAGAAGAGCUGACUUCAGAAACUUCCUGUCUGGCCGGACAGGGGACAUGAGAUCCUGAGGGUCCAACAUCCAUCAGUAUCAGGUCAGACAGGUGGGCAGUCAGUAACUCGGAGGAAGGCAGAGAGAUGGAAUUAGUUUUAACUGGAUUUAUGUAAAACAGAGAAUAUUAAACAGUAUCAGAGUGUGGCAAAUGACUCCGGCAGAUCUAAAUAAAACAGCCUAACUAAAGGCAGAGAGCCAGAAGGUAACAUAGACAUGGAGGCUCCCUGAAACACUGGCAUCCACCCACUCCACCGUCCACAAACCUGAGUGACCGUGUGCAGUGGGAGAACAACAGCACUAGCAUCUCAGUUUACCACAAUUCCCUCUGUCCAUGAACACCUGGAUCUGCAGCCUUAUCUAAAGGGAAAAACAUUAAUUACCAAAAGCUAAACUAAACAAGUAAGUUUUCAGUCUAGACUUAAAGAUUGAGACUGUGUCUGAGUCCCAAACAUAUUCGGGGAGAUUAUUCCAGAGUUGAGGCGCUUUAUAAGAGAAAGCUCUUCCUCCUGCAGAGCUCCUCUGAAUUUUAGGAACUACUAAGAAACCAGGACCCUGAGAUUUAAGUAAUCGCGGUGGUUCAUAACAGGAGAUGAGGUCUCAUAAAUACUCAGGAGCGAGCCCAUGUAGGGCUUUAUACGUUAACAGGAGAAUUUUAUAGUCUGUGCAGAAUUUGACUGGAAGCCAGUGCAGUGCUGAUAGGACUGGACUAAUAUGAUAAAAUUUUCUAGUUUUUGCAGCAUUUUGAACUAGCUGAAGUUUAAGUUACUGCAGGAACAUCCAGACAGUAGCGCAUUACAAUAAUCUAGCCUUGAGGUAAUAAAGGCAUGGACUAAUUUUUCUGCGUCAUGCAGUGAUAGGGCAUUUCUUAGCUUGGCAAUGUUACGUAGGUGUAGAAAAGCUGUUCUAGUAACAUUAGAUAUGUGUUUAUUGAAUGCUAGAUCUGAAUCUAUGAUAACUCCAAGAUUUUUAGCUGCUGAACCAGGUGUGACGGAGAAGUCGGCCAGAUUUAGCAUUAAGUCUGAUGAUUUAUUUCUUAUUAGUAGGUUCUGGGUUUGGUUAGAUUAGUAGGUUCUGGGGUUUGAUAAUAGAUGGAUGGCACUGUGCUGGUUAGAUUAUUAGGCGUAAUUUAUUUAUUUAUUUAAUAGUUUGUUUAACAGAGACAGUGUACAUUAAUUAACAUUACUGUAAAUGCACCAAAGCCUAAAGUAGACUUAGCCUAAAGUCUAUUUUUCAUCUGUUGUCCCUGGACAGAUCUUGAAAUUGUCUAAAUUAUUAUUUGUUCUGUAAUAAAUUAAUUAAUGUAACAGACCUAGUAUUUUCAUAACUGGACACAUAACAUAAAAAGAAUAAGAAAAUUAAGAUAACAUGGUGUGUGUGUGUGUGUGUGUUUGUGGCCGUGCACUGUCCCUCAGUGCCGGAGUGGGCCGCACCGGAACCUUUAUAGGGCUGGACCGGAUCCUGCAACAGCUUGACACUAGAGAUACAGUGGAUGUUUACGGAGCUGUAUUCGACCUGCGGCUCCAUCGCUCUCACAUGGUUCAGACAGAGCGACAGUACACCUACCUGCACCAGUGUGUUCGAGAUGUGCUCCGUGCACGAAAGCUGCGAAACGAGCAGGAGAACCCUCUGUAUCCUGUGUAUGAGAAUGUGCUGCCAGAUUACCAUCACACCCAUCACACACACUACUACGGCCAGUCAUAAGCAUGAUUGCAAGCAGUCAGAAAAGAUCACUGAAGUCCUGUCAUCAUUUUUUAGGUCAGGGUGCAUGGUUCAGUAAGGCCAGAAAUUAAAAACUAUAAUCAGUAUUUAUUAAGUGUUUAUACAGAGUUUAUACAUUUUAAUUAUAUCUUGUUGCUUUCUCCAUGCUUGUUAUUAUCUGCCUAGUUUUUCUGCCAGAAUUUUAAGAUAAAAUGACUAAUGGAAAUGUUUCAAAAUGACUUUUUAUUUAUUUUAACUUUUAUUGAAAGCAACAAUGUAAAAUAGCUUUUUUUGAACCACAAAAAAUGAGCUAAAUUCCUGUUGGUUCUAGCUAAGGUAGUCUUUAAAAUAAAAUGACGCAAAACUAAUGCAUGUUUAUAUGUCUGACAAUUCAAACUACAGUUGAUUUGCCCCUCUCAAGCCUGUGAAUAUGAAUAUGAAUAUGUAUGUUUUUAUCCAUUACAGAUACUGUGUAAAUCCUUUAUUAAGGAGUGCAGGAAGUGUUCAAAAGAAGGAUGUUCUACAUAUUAAUAAAGUAUCUUUAUUUUUUUGAAGUAUUUAUGUGUUCUAAAUGCAAAUGUAAUGUUAUGUAUAUAUUACAAUAAAGGCAAUACACAGUAAAAUCCACAGUGUUAAAAUUUAA